GCCCGUAUAGCUCAGCCGGUAGAGCAUUGUACUUAUGAGGAUAUCUGACCAUGCAAGGGUCCCGAGUUCGAUUCUCGGUAUGGGCA
rnacentral:tRNA from 1 species